UUCCCCAACUCACCCUACACCCGCCCCACUCCCCUCCAAAAAGACCCUUAGUCUACUGCUGAUCAAAACCUAAAACUGCUAUCAGAAAUUUAUGGGAGAAGAGAAGACCAUUUGUCACCUCCGCCGGCAUCAACUGCUCAUUUUAGAAUUUCUUCUCAUCAAGAGGCUCUACGAAUCCUUCAAGGAAAAUCAGUAUCAUGACUGUGAUGCAAAGGAGAAGUUGAGUAAAGAAUUAGGCUUAACAGCUCACCAGGUGUUAUGAGUUCUCCCUAGCAUAUGUUAAUUUCAACUUCGUCCGCAUUUUCGCAACUUGUAUCUUUGAUUUUGCUUCGCGGCUGCCCUCUUUUUCCUUAGUUUCUUUUUGUCAAAUAUACAGGUCAGUAAAUGUUUUUAAAAUGCUCGUCAUUGUAAUCGUCAUUCUUCUCGCUGAGACUCAAUUAUGAGUCAAAAAGUGUUGAAAGAAUCUCCUUCCUAACCAAAUAUAAUGGGAGAACCACUUGGAACUGAAUCACUAUAUGUGAUAAAGUUAAAGUUGAACAGAGUAGCAUUUCUUAUGUAAUGUUGGGGAUAAAUAUAAAAUGUGCAUUUAUUUUCUGCUCUAUGAGCUAUUUACAUUACCAAUAAGAAAACAAAUCAAACAAAUUAUUAGUAACUCAUGAAAGGGAAACACUUUUAGAUGUUUAAACUUCUGAACAUUAUUCCGAUAUUGCGUUGUCUGCCUUUAAAAGUGAACGGCUAAAUUCUUUUAGAGUUUGCUCCCCUAGUAAUGGAUUAUAUUGUUCCUUGAGCCUUGCUUUAAACUUGGAAUUUUUUUUUAAUUAUGCCAAAGAUCUUUCCUUUAUAUAAUCCACGUGAGAUAACUGUCGGGAGUGUGAAUUUAGUUUAGAUUUUGCACCCUCCUGUUAUUCUGUCUCUUAUCCACUAAGUUUUACUACUACUAUGUAAGAUGUACAAAUUCAUUUCUCUCUCAUAGGAAGUAUAUGUGAUUUAAUAUGUUGGUGAUGGAGAUGAAAGCUUUUGCAGAAGCAUAAGUGAUUUAAUAUGAUGAAAGUACUUCUUAUGAAAUUUCGGUGAGCAUCACAAGUCAUACACAAAUAUAACUUAAUCUCUCCGUCACCUUGUGCAUACUGAAAUUAGAGUAUCCUUUCUGCUAUUGAAUGCUUUUACUGUUAAUCUUGAAGCAUGUAUCUUACUGGUUGCGUUAUGUCUAAAUUAGUAUUCCGAGAGCUUAGCUGGUAUGUGAACCUUCUAUAUUUAUGGUCAUGUCCAUAUUUUUUUUGUUAAUUUGAAUUUAAGUAGUUUUUUUAUUUGAUCUUGCACUUGCUCAAAGCUUCUGUUUCAUGUAUUCUAAUUGCUGGAAUUAGAUACCGUCGACAGUGUUAAGGCAUUUUUAAAUCUUGGACCUAGGGAAAAGUUGGAGAAAGAGAGAAAAUAAUAAAAUUUCAGAAAAAUGGGUCAAUUCAUUGUGCUCCAUUUCGUUGGUAGUUCUUUCCGUUGAACUUGAAUUUGUUACUCAAGAAUAAUAGUUAUCUUUUUGUUUUGCAUAUGUGGAACUAUAGAAAAGUAGACUAAUGAAUAUUUGUGCUGAAAUUAUUGCUUUUAACCCGAUUUACAUGCUUCUCACAGUAAAAUUGUUUCAUUCUAUUUUCUUGUAUUCUUUGCUGUCCUGUUUUCUUUAUUUUGUGGCAUGGUCACCGGUUCCUCUUGCUAAAGACCAACACAAUUGUUUGGAGUAGUAAAGAAUCCAAUUGCUUGGAAAUAUUUUCCUUUUCUAGAUUUUCGACUAAUAUGCAGUGACUCUCUUUAAUAUCAAAAUUUCAGUGCCGAAUCAAGGUGGGUGUACCUCAAUUUUGGCUCAUCAGUUCACUUAGAUGAACUUUUUUCCAUUUAUUAAAAAUAUUUUCCGAAUCUGUUUUAUGUUUCGAUUCCCUCUGUCUUACUUAUAUUUCAGGAGAUCAUAAACAAAAAGAAUAUAGAGAUUUGCUGCUACAAAGGAAUCGCAAGACUUCAAAAGAUAGGAUUUGGAGCAUAAAAUGCCGGGAAAGGGGGUAAUUACAUUUGAGACAGGAUUAUUUGAGUUAAAAACCUUUCUAAUGUAUGUUUAACUUAUUUCCAGCGAGACAUCCAAGACACUGUUGUAACUUAAUGGGAAUAGAGACAACUGAACGGAUGAGUUAAAAUUCUUUACCAGAAACUCAUGUUGGAACAACUUAUUUGCUCAAUGGAUUUCAGCAAAGAAUGUCUGCUUCAGAAAGCAUAUGGAAUUUAGUCAUAAAUAAUCUCAACAGAACAUGGUUAAUCUUUUAAUAACAAGAAAGAGAGGAAGAAAGUGAGAAAAGUGGGUAUAUUGAAGAAGGAUCCUGACCAAAUGAGUUAUACUAGAUUUUCUUCGAUUCUCAACGAAGUUUAACACUUUCAAGGUUGCUCAAGUUAUGGAGAUAUUGAAGGCAUAAUCCAACAAGCUGCAAGGAUCAUGUUUGGUAAAGUCAAAGUGUCGUGAAGGCUUACCUAGAAUUGAGCAUGAGAUAUCAUCUGGUGAUAAUCUUUAGUUGCAAUUUUGCAAAUAAAGAUUACUUUAGACUGCAAAUUGCUUCGCAUGGUCUAGUAGUUCUAAAACAAGUCAUAUACGAGUAAAGUGUAGCAGAUCAAGAAUUUGGAAGUUCGAAAUAUCAAUCCUUGAAAAAGUGCAGAGCAAAAAGUUGAAAUACAAGAAAUUUAUUUUGUUGGGGUGGUUUAAAGAUAUCUGAUGUACAUUGAAUGCAUUUUUUUCUAUGUUUAGGAGUUGUUAAAAUAUUGUCAUACAAUUUGGACGGUUUUAUUAUUCUUUAGUUCUUUGUAUCAAUGAUGAAGUUUCAUAUGAAUACUGAUUAUUUAA